UUGACUUAAAGGGCAAAAUACAGCUGUUACUUUGACAUGCGUUAACCAACUACCGCUGUGUUUUCUUACUAGAACGUGUUUCUGGAGCGGAGGCGAGCUGGUAGGGGAGCCGUGAAUCUGGAGGAUGACCAUCACUCUACCAACAAGGAUUACUUUAGGGCCAGACUCGCACUGUUUGUUCCAGACCAGGACUCUGGCUGAGGAGAGCUGAUGGAGGAGCCAAGACUCUGGAGGACGACAUCACUCCACCAACCAGGAUCCUCACCAGGAAUCUGGAGGACUGAUGGAGAAGCCAUACAUCUGGAAGGCAAAUCCUGAGGACCACCAUGACUCUACCAUCAAGGAUUCCUCAUAAAUGUGCAUUAUCUGGACAUAGUGGACUAGACACACCUGAGCUGAACCUCACCUGAUCCUGUUUGGUCGGGGGUAGACACACCUGAGCUAAACCCGCCCUGAUCCUGACAUCCUGCUGGUCCCGUCUCCUCAGUUCAUCUGAGCCUCGUCCUCCACAAGACUUGCUGAGCUCAGCAGUCUGAGGCUGAUGGAUCAAUGACCUCCAGUGGGAGUGAUCUUCUUGACCCCACAUGUAACCGUGUGCUUCCACACGCCUUUCCCUCACGUCUGUCACUAACCUCACUACUUCACUACUCUCUACUGCUUCCUCUUUUCUUCCUUCUCUGUGGUUCAAACCUUUAAACUGAAGGCGCGUCUUCCUGCCCUCCAGAGGGUUUAGCGUUAGGGUUGAGAGUCAGGGUUUAGAGUUAGGGACAGAGCUGGUCAGGGAGGACUGCUUUUACACACAC